rnacentral:SRP_RNA from 1 species
GCCAGGCAUGGUGGUGCAUGCCUGUUUUUCUAGCUACUCAGGAGGCUGAGGCGGGAGGAUCACCUGAGCCCAGGAGUUUUAGGCUGCAGUGAACUAUGAUCAUGCCACUGCAUUCCAGCCUGGGGAACAGAGUGAGACCCUGUCUCUA